ensembl:lncRNA HLA-L major histocompatibility complex, class I, L (pseudogene)
ACUACAGUCCCGGCGCAACCACCCGCACUCAGAUUCUCCCCAAACGCCAAGGAUGGGGGUCAUGGCUCCCCGAACCCUCCUCCUGCUGCUCUUGGGGGCCCUGGCCCUGACCGAGACCUGGGCCGGUGAGUGCGGGGUCGGGAGGGAAAGGGCCUCUGCGGGGAGAAGCGAGUGGCCCGCCCGGCCCGGGGAGCCGCGCCGGGAGGAGGGUCGGGCGGGUCUCAGCCUCUCCUCGCCUCCAGGCUCCCACUCCUUGAGGUAUUUCAGCACCGCAGUGUCCCAGCCCGGCCGCGGGGAGCCCCGGUUCAUCGCCGUGGGCUACGUGGACGACACAGAGUUCGUGCGGUUCGACAGCGACUCCGUGAGUCCGAGGAUGGAGCGGCGGGCGCCGUGGGUGGAGCAGGAGGGGCUGGAGUAUUGGGACCAGGAGACACGGAACGCCAAGGGCCACGCGCAGAUUUACCGAGUGAACCUGCGGACCCUGCUCCGCUAUUACAACCAGAGCGAGGCCGGUAUGAACAGUUCGCCUACGAUGGCAAGGAUUACAUCGCCCUGAACGAGGACCUGCACUCCUGGACCGCCGCGAACACAGCGGCUCAGAUCUCCCAGCACAAGUGGGAAGCGGACAAAUACUCAGAGCAGGUCAGGGCCUACCUGAGGGCAAGUGCAUGGAGUGGCUCCGCAGACACCUGGAGAACGGGAAGGAGACGCUGCAGCACGCGGAUCCCCCAAAGGCACAUGUGACCCAGCACCCCAUCUCUGACCAUGAGGCCACCCUGAGGUGCUGGGCCCUGGGCCUCUACCCUGCGGAGAUCACACUGACCUGGCAGCAGGAUGGGGAGGACCAGACCCAGGACACGGAGCUUGUGGAGACCAGGCCUGCAGGGGACGGAACCUUCCAGAAGUGGGUGGCUGUAGUGGUGCCUUCCGGAGAGGAGCAGAGAUACAUGUGCCAUGUGCAGCAUGAGGGGCUGCCAGAGCCCCUCACCCUGAGAUGGGAGCCGUCUUCUCAGCCCACCAUCCCCAUCGUGGGCAUCGUUGCUGGCCUGUUUCUCCUUGGAGCUGUGGUCACUGGAGCUGUGGUUGCUGCUGCGAUGUGGAGGAAGAAAAGCUCAGAGUUCUCACCACCUCCUCCCAGGCUAAAUCCUUCAUGUUGCAGGAGACAGAGAAUCCCAGGUGAGACCCGGACUUUUUCUCCUCCCUCCCUUCCUUUUUUCACCGUGUUCAGGAUAAAUUAUCUUGGUUUUGUUUCUGGAGGGAAAAGGGCAGAGAGGCCCUGACUUGAAUCUCAAUCACAUUUCUGCACACAGUACCUGAGGAGACAGAAUAGCAGAGGGGUGGGAACAAUUAACAUUGCUUUAUGGGCUUUAGAAUGGAGAAAAAAUAAUUCCCACUCUUUUUUCUUUUACCCAAAUCCAACUUCAGUUUUCUCUCCAACUCUCUAAAACCACCACCAAUACUAUUAUCACAUCAUGUGUAGCUACUUGGGGGGUGGUGAAAGGCUGAGUACGCAUCAUGUUCAGGUAGUAGGGUGUUAAACGAAAUAGUUCCUCACAGCAAUGCCCAAAGUCAUCCUUGGUCACAAUAAAGGAGAAUAAAGGGAAAAAAGUAUGAUUAUUGUAUUAGAUUGUGGGGUUGCAGGUGAGUUUUUUUUUUCCAUUUUAAAAAUUAUUUUGUGGUUAUAAUGAUGAUGUCAAUUUUUAAAAAAAUAAAAGAAUGGAAAAAGUUG